rnacentral:rRNA from 1 species
AUUGAACGCUGGCGGCAGGCCUAACACAUGCAAGUCGAGCGGAGCGGCGGACGGGUGAGUAAUGCCUAGGAAUCUGCCUGGUAGUGGGGGAUAACGUCCGGAAACGGGCGCUAAUACCGCAUACUAUCAGAUGAGCCUAGGUCGGAUUAGCUAGUUGGUGGGGUAAAGGCCUACCAAGGCGACGAUCAGUAGCGGGUCUGAGAGGAUGAUCCGCCACACUGGGACUGAGACACGGCCCAGACUCCUACGGGAGGCAGCAGUGGGGAAUUUUGGACAAUGGGCGCAAGCCUGAUCCAGCCAUGCCGCGUGUCUGAAGAAGGCCUUCGGGUUGUAAAGGACUUUUGUCAGGGAAGCGGUACCGGAAUAGAAAGCCACGGCUAACUACGUGCCAGCAGCCGCGGUAAUUC